rnacentral:tRNA from 1 species
AAAAAAUUAGUUAAAUUAAUAACAUUAGUUUGUCAAACUAAAAUUAUCAACCAAUUGAUAUUUUUUA